AGGGUUUGAUCAUGGCUCAGGACGAACGCUUGCGGCGUGCCUAAGAAAUGCAAGUCGAGCGGAUUAAAGAGACUUCGGUCUCUUUAGUUAGCGGCGAACGGUCGCGUAACACGUAGGCAACCUGCCCCAAAGACCGGGACAACAGUGGGAAACCGCUGCUAAUACCGGAUGUGGUCACUUCCUCGCCUGGGGAGGUGAUUAAACCGAGCAAUUGGCUUUGGGAGGGGCCUGCGGCCUAUCAGCUAGAUGGUGGGGUAACGGCCUACCAUGGCGACGACGGGUAGCUGGUCUGAGAGGAUGGUCAGCCGGACUGGGACUGAGACACGGCCCAGACUCCUACGGGGGGCAGCAAUUAGGAAUCUUGUGCAAUGGGCGAAAGCCUGACACAGCGACGCCGCGUGAGGGAGGACGGCCUUCGGGUUGUAAACCUCUUUUAACGAGGAAGAAACAAAUGACGGUACUCGUUGAAUAAGCCCCGGCUAACUCCGUGCCAGCAGCCGCGGUAAUACGGAGGGGGCGAGCGUUGUCCGAAGUUACUGGGCGUAAAGCGCGCGUAGGCGGGUUGGCAAGUCCGCUGUGAAAGCCCGAGGCUUAACCUCGGCGGGUCGGUGGAUACUGCCAGUCUUGAAGGUGCUAGGGGGAGAUGGAAUUACCGGUGUAGCGGUGAAAUGCGUAGAUAUCGGUAGGAACACCAGUGGCGAAGGCGGUCUCCUGGGGCAUUCUUGACGCUGAGGCGCGAAAGCUGGGGGAGCGAACGGGAUUAGAUACCCCGGUAGUCCCAGCCCUAAACGAUGGAUACUAGGUGUCGGGGGUAUCGACCCCCCCGGU
rnacentral:rRNA from 1 species